AACACAUGCAAGUCGAACGGUAACAGGAAAUAGCUUGCUAUUUUGCUGACGAGUGGCGCACGGGUGCGUAACGCGUAUACAAUCUACCUCUUGCUGAGGGAUAGCCCAGAGAAAUUUGGAUUAAUACCUCAUGGUAUUAUAGAUAGGCAUCUAUUUAUAAUUAAAGGUUACGGCGAGAGAUGAGUAUGCGUCCCAUUAGCUAGUUGGCGAGGUAACGGCUCACCAAGGCAACGGUGGGUAGGGGUCCUGAGAGGGAGAUCCCCCACACUGGUACUGAGACACGGACCAGACUCCUACGGGAGGCAGCAGUGAGGAAUAUUGGACAAUGGGCGAGAGCCUGAUCCAGCCAUGCCGCGUGCAGGAAGACUGCCCUAUGGGUUGUAAACUGCUUUUAUACAGGAAGAAUAAGCCUUACGUGUAAGGUGAUGACGGUACUGUAAGAAUAAGGACCGGCUAACUCCGUGCCAGCAGCCGCGGUAAUACGGAGGGUCCGAGCGUUAUCCGGAAUUAUUGGGUUUAAAGGGUCCGUAGGCGGAUGAUUAAGUCAGGGGUGAAAGUUUGCAGCUCAACUGUAAAAUUGCCUUUGAUACUGGUUAUCUUGAGUUGUAUUGAAGUAGGCGGAAUAUGUAGUGUAGCGGUGAAAUGCAUAGAUAUUACAUAGAACACCAAUUGCGAAGGCAGCUUACUAAGUACUAACUGACGCUGAUGGACGAAAGCGUGGGUAGCGAACAGGAUUAGAUACCCUGGUAGUCCACGCCGUAAACGAUGGAUACUAGCUGUUCGGGACCUUGAGUUCUGAGCGGCUAAGCGAAAGCGUUAAGUGAUCCACCUGGGGAGUACGCCGGCAACGGUGAAACUCAAAGGAAUUGACGGGGGUCGCGCAAGCGGUGGAGCAUGUGUUUAAUUCGAUGAUACGCGAGAACUUACCGGGCUAGAUGUGAGAUGAUAAGAGAUGUAUCAGUCAGCAAUGACUGAAACAGGUGCUGCAUGGCUGUCGUCAGCUCUGCCUGAGGUGAUGGGAUAGUUCCCGCACCGAGCGCCACCCCCUGUUAUAUAUGUGUGCACUCACGU
rnacentral:rRNA from 1 species